GAUGAACGCUGGCGGCGUGCCUAAUACAUGCAAGUCGAGCGAACAGAUAAGGAGCUUGCUCCUUUGACGUUAGCGGCGGACGGGUGAGUAACACGUGGGUAACCUACCUAUAAGACUGGAAUAACUCCGGGAAACCGGGGCUAAUGCCGGAUAACAUUUAGAACCGCAUGGUUCUAAAGUGAAAGAUGGUUUUGCUAUCACUUAUAGAUGGACCCGCGCCGUAUUAGCUAGUUGGUAAGGUAACGGCUUACCAAGGCAACGAUACGUAGCCGACCUGAGAGGGUGAUCGGCCACAUGGGAACGGAGACACGGUCCAGACUCCUACGGGAGGCAGCAGUAGGGAAUCUUCCGCAAUGGGCGAAAGCCUGACGGAGCAACGCCGCGUGAGUGAUGAAGGUCUUCGGAUCGUAAAACUCUGUUAUUAGGGAAGAACAAAUGUGUAAGUAACUGUGCACGUCUUGACGGUACCUAAUCAGAAAGCCACGGCUAACUACGUG
rnacentral:rRNA from 1 species